rnacentral:rRNA from 1 species
AAGGGCACCACAAGAACGCGUGGAGCAUGUGGCUUAAUUUGACUCAACGCGGGAAAUYUUACCGGGUCCGGACACACUGAGGAUUGACAGGUUCUUUAACAAAAAAAAUAAUAUAUUUAUAUAUUUUUUUAUUUUGUUAUUAAAUAUGCUAGUCCUUUCAUGAUUGUGUGAUAGGUGGUGCAUGGCCGUUYUUAGUUCGUGGAGUGAUCUGUYUGCUUAAUUGCGUUUCAUUAAUUAGUCGCUGAUUUCAUCAAUAGUUGUUUAAACAUUUUGUCACAUAUAACUUUUUUUUUUAUUAUUAUAAAAAUUUUAGUUUGUGCAAUUAUGUUUCAACUUAAAGGUGAACAGUGACACGAAGGCAACGAACGUGACCGCAACCUCUUGUUGCCUCCUUUCUUAUAAAAUUAUAUAUAUUUUUUUAUAUAUUUUUUUUUAWAAGUUUAUAUAUUUAUUUUUUUAUUUUAAAAAAAUAAAAUCGGAGGCUUUUCAUUUUUUCAUAUUAWAUUAUUUUAUUAUUAUUUUKGAUUGCYCUUUUAUUWAAUUAUAAUKGGGUAGUUUUUAGAUUUWAUWAAAAAUAWAAUUUGAAAUGAAAACAACUAGAGGGACCGCUAGAGUAUUUUUUUAAAACAGAGGAAGGUUGCGGCAAUAACAGGUCUGUGAUGCCCUUAGAUGUUCCGGGCUGCACACGUGCUACAAUGAUUAUUGCAGUGAGCAUCUAAUACUAAAGUUUUUUUAUUAUUUUUUUAUAUUUUAUUUUUAAAAUAUAUUUUUAUAAUAAAAUCUUUAAACCUGCUUCGAAAGUUUAGCAGGCAAUCAAUUGGAAGUAAUGAUUUCCCCUUUUCUGCUUUAUAUACAUAUUUUUUAAAUAUUAUAUUCUGUUCAGAAUUGACGCACUUUUAUAUGCUUUAUUUAAUUGAUUUUUUAUAAUAUUUUUUUAAUUUUAUAUAAAAAUACUUUUAAUUAAAUGCAUGUGCCCUAAUUCUUUUAAAUUUUUAUAUGUAUAUUUUUUUAUAUAUAUAUAUAUAAUUUAAAAUAAAAUUCGUGGUGGGGACARACCAUUGCUAAUUGUUGGWCUCGGWCUUAACUAGGAAUGCCUUGUACGGGUCUU